GAUGAAGAACGCAGCGAAAUGCGAUAAGUAAUGUGAAUUGCAGAAUUCAGUGAAUCAUCGAAUCUUUGAACGCACAUUGCGCCCCCUGGUAUUCUGGCGGGCAUGCCUGUCCGAGCGUCAUUUCAACCCUCGGGCCCCCCUCUGCGGGCGGCCCGGCGUUGGGGCUCAGGCGCCGUCUCUGCUCGGCGCCUGUCCCCUAAAUGCAGUGGCGGCCUCGCCGCUGCCUCCUCCGCGUAGUAGCACAAACCUCGCGGCUGGAAGGCGGCGCGGCCACGCCGUAAAACCCCCCAACUUUACCAAGGUUGACCUCGGAUCAGGUAGGAAUACCCGCUGAACUUAAGCAUAUCAAUAAGCGGAGGA
rnacentral:misc_RNA from 1 species